AGAAAAAGAAGAUAGAGAAAGAUUGGCUCGUGGGGGUACGAUAACCAACUCCGAUACAAGUUGUGUUUGUAAAUAUUCGUUUUCGAUUUAAAAUUAGAGAUAGAUCCUAGUCGGUUAGGAAAUCAGUUGUAACAGGCUAUAAAUAGCCAUCUUUGAACAUUUGUAAAACAACACAUCAAUCAAUACAAACAAUCUACUUUUUCAUUGUACUUUACUUUCAAGUCGGCGACUUCACCAAUACAUCUUUUUCUUUCACGAGUUCGUACGGGUUGGCAGGGCUGCAUCGACACGAUCUCCGACCAAUUAUGUAAGUUCCGUUUAUCGAGUAAUAUCUAAGCUUUAACUUCAAGCGCAUCCCUGUCAUUUCUUUUAG
rnacentral:lncRNA from 1 species